UAGGGAAUAUUGCACAAUGGGGGAAACCCUGAUGCAGCGACGCCGCGUGAGUGAUGAAGGACUUCGGUUCGUAAAGCUCUGUUGCAAGGGAAUAAGCUCUGAAUGUACCUUGCGAGAAAGGGUCGGCUAACUUCGUGCCAGCAGCCGCGGUAAGACGAGGGACCCAAGCGUUGUUCGGAAUCAUUGGGCGUAAAGCGGGUGUAGGUGGCUAAGUAAGUCAGAUGUGAAAGCCCUGGGCUCAACCCAGGAAGUGCAUUUGAUACUAUUUAGCUUGAGUGCCGGAGAGGUUACUAGAAUUCCAGGUGUAGUGGUGAAAUACGUAGAUAUCUGGAGGAACACCGGAGGCGAAGGCGGGUAACUGGCCGAGCACUGACACUCAGACCCGAAAGCGUGGGGAUCA
rnacentral:rRNA from 1 species